GGGCGGCUAGUUCAGUGGUAGAACGCGUCACUGAUAAUGACGAGGUCGUAGGUCCGAUUCCUACGCCGCCCACCA
rnacentral:tRNA from 3 species